rnacentral:rRNA from 1 species
GAUGAACGCUGGCGGCGUGCCUAAUACAUGCAAGUCGAACGAGUGGCGAACGGGUGAGUAACACGUGGGAAACCUACCCUUCAGCGGGGGAUAACCAUCGGAAACGAUGACUAAUACCGCAUACGGAAGGAUGGUCCCGCGGUGCUUAAGCUCGACGGUGGGGUAACGGCCUACCGGGGCAGUGAUGCAUAGCCGACCUGAGAGGAUGUUCGGCCACAUUGGGACUGAAGCACGGCCCAAACUCCUCCGGGAGGCAGCAGUAGGGAAUCUUCCGCAAUGGACGCAAGUCUGACGGAGCAACGCCGCGUGUGUGAAGAAGGUCUUCGGAUCGUAAAGCACUGUUAUCAGAGAGGCGGUAACUGAUCAGAAAGCCACGGCUAACUACGUGCCAGCAGCCGCGGUAAUAC